rnacentral:tRNA from 1 species
UGGGAUGUAGCUUAGUGGUAGAGUGCUUACCAAACAUGUAUGAGGCUCUGAGUUUGAUCCGCAGCACCACUCAGGGUAGGGAGGGCUCAUAAUCAAAAAACAAAUAGGAUUUGAGCAUGUAGCUUAGAGAGCGACUUUACCGAGUGCAAGGCCCUGGGUUCAAUCCCCAGCACCCAAA